UACGUAGGGGGCUAGCGUUGUCCGGAAUUAUUGGGCGUAAAGAGCUCGUAGGCGGCUUGUCACGUCGGAUGUGAAAGCCCGGGGCUUAACCCCGGGUCUGCAUUCGAUACGGGCAGGCUAGAGUGUGGUAGGGGAGAUCGGAAUUCCUGGUGUAGCGGUGAAAUGCGCAGAUAUCAGGAGGAACACCGGUGGCGAAGGCGGAUCUCUGGGCCAUUACUGACGCUGAGGAGCGAAAGCGUGGGGAGCGAACAGG
rnacentral:rRNA from 1 species